GAUGAACGCUGGCGGCGUGCCUAAUACAUGCAAGUCGAGCGAACAGACGAGGAGCUUGCUCCUCUGACGUUAGCGGCGGACGGGUGAGUAACACGUGGAUAACCUACCUAUAAGACUGGGAUAACUUCGGGAAACCGGAGCUAAUACCGGAUAAUAUAUUGAACCGCAUGGUUCAAUAGUGAAAGACGGUUUUGCUGUCACUUAUAGAUGGAUCCGCGCCGCAUUAGCCAGUUGGUAAGGUAACGGCUUACCAAGGCAACGAUGCGUAGCCGACCUGAGAGGGUGAUCGGCCACACUGGAACUGAGACACGGUCUAGACUCCUACGGGAGGCAGCAGUAGGGAAUCUUCCGCAAUGGGCGAAAGCCUGACGGAGCAACGCCGCGUGAGUGAUGAAGGUCUUCGGAUCGUAAAACUCUGUUAUUAGGGAAGAACAAAUGUGUAAGUAACUAUGCACGUCUUGACGGUACCUAAUCAGAAAGCCACGGCUAACUACGUG
rnacentral:rRNA from 1 species